ACGCAACACCUUUCUGGACUGUGCUAUCUUCAGCAGGUGAAUGAACACAGAGCGGUGAGAAGGCAUUGGGAGCAAAGCUUUCCUGAGGAAACUGUCAACUACAGCCAAAGCUAUGGCAUCCAGGAGACCGGUUUCACAAUGUGGCAUGUAUUAAAGACAUCAAGUUGGCAUCGCUUGGACUUAGGAUAAGCUGUAGCAUGUGACAAGAAAGAAUAAGGAAGCGGCGAGGAAGAUAUGAAGACAAAGGCAGAGACGGGCUGGUUCCACUACAACCCAGGAUUGGCAAGGGUUGCUGACGGAUGUGUGAAGCUAGGAGGGAGAGAUGGGAUGGAUUCGACUCCAAAGCGAGCCCGACUGCUCGACACCUGCACGGACAGAAUGCAUUUCUAAGUCAAGCUACAAGGGUUCUGCCCAACAGAGGGGAACAACCGCUGGGCUCUUUCUUGCUCUUUUUGCCUUCCCUGUAGCUCGGCACUGAGUACUGACACAUAUUCUCCUUCACAGCGGCCUUCUCACCCACCCUGUCUGCUUUGUAAUGUCAUAUCCUGCCAUCAUCUCAAACUUAAAAAAGAAAAGACCCCUGUCACUCAA